UUGCUACAAGGAAGGCCAUUUUCCAUGAGAGGUGAAACCAGGAACACGUGGCCAGGGGUUCAGAGGGAGGACCUGUGAGUCAUGAAAAAAACAGGUUUAGGUCCCAUUGUGGCACAGGGGGGCGGUGAGCAUGGAA